GAUAAACGCUGGCGGCGUGCCUUAUGCAUGCAAGUCGUACGGUCCCCGCCUUCGGGCGGGGGCAGUGGCGGACGGGUGAGUAACACGUAAGUAACCUGCCCGGAAGUGGGGGAUAACCUCGCGAAAGUGGGGCUAAUACCGCGUGUGGUCGUUUUCGGUUCGCCGGUGACGAUCAAAGCCUUCGGGCGCUUCCGGAGGGGCUUGCGGCCGAUUAGCUAGUUGGUAGGGUAAUGGCCUACCAAGGCGACGAUCGGUAGCUGGUCUGAGAGGACGGUCAGCCACACGGGGACUGAGACACGGCCCUGACUCCUACGGGAGGCAGCAGCAAGGAAUCUUGCGCAAUGGGCGAAAGCCUGACGCAGCAACGCCGCGUGGGGGAUGAAGGCCCUCGGGUUGUAAACCCCUUUUGCAGGGGAAGAUGAUGACGGUACCCUGCGAAUAAGCCACGGCUAACUACGUG
rnacentral:rRNA from 1 species